AUCUCUGUUUGCUGAAUAUUGUUAUUGACCAUUGUGAGGAUCUCCAGAAGACCCAUAUCAUAGAUCUGACAAAGAUCUUUGUCAGCUGAAUAUUGCUAUUGACCGUUGUGAGGAUCUCCAGAAGACCCAUAUCAUAGAUCUGACAAAGAUCUCUGUCAGCUGAAUAUUGCUAUUGACCGUUGUGAGGAUCUUAAGAAGACC